GGCCCCUUAGCUCAGUGGCAAGAGCAUCUCCAUUCCUUGGGGGCAAGUUCCGAGGUUCGGUUCCUCGAGGGGCCA